rnacentral:rRNA from 1 species
GGGUUGCUAAAUCGUAAGAUGGUGCUAAUCUCAUCAAAACUCGUCUCAGUUCGGAUUGAGGUCUGAAAUUCGACCUCAUGAAGCUGGAAUCGCUAGUAAUCGUGGAUCAGACACGCCACGGUGAAUACGUUCCCGGGUCUUGUACUUACCGCCCGUCAAGUCAAGGGAGUCGGCAAUACCCGAACCCGCCCAAUUUUUGCUGAAUAAUUAGAGUAAUAUCUAAAAAAUUCGGAAAAAGUUGGGCGGGGAAGGUAAGGCUGGUAACAAGGACUAAGUCGUAACAAGGCAUCUGUAGCGGAAGCUGUGGAUGGAUCACCUCCUUUCUAGGG